rnacentral:tRNA from 1 species
GCCAGUUUGGUUUAGUGGCUAAGGCACCAGACUAGAAAACUGGGAAACUGUGAGUUCAAGUCCCACCUUAGGCC